rnacentral:Y_RNA from 1 species
AGCUGCUGCAAGUGCAGUGGUGUUUACAACUAAUUGGUCACAACCAGCUACGCUGUCUUUGUUCCUUCUCCACUCCCACUGCCUCACUUGACUAGUUGUAA